AUUGAACGCUGGCGGCAGGCCUAACACAUGCAAGUCGAACGAGUGGCGGACGGGUGAGUAAUGUCUGGGAACUUGCCCGAUGGCGGGGGAUAACUACUGGAAACGGUAGCUAAUACCGCAUACCAUUGGAUGUGCCCAGAUGGGAUUAGCUAGUAGGUGGGGUAACGGCUCACCGAGGCGACGAUCCAUAGCUGGUAUGAGAGGAUGACCGGCCACACUGGAACUGAGACACGGUCCAGACUCCUACGGGAGGCAGCAGUGGGGAAUAUUUGACAAUGGGCGAAAUCCUGAUCCAGCCAUGCCGCGUGUGUGAUGAAGGUCUUCGGAUUGUAAAGCACUUUUAGUAGGGAAGCGUUACCAACAGAAUAAGCACCGGCUAACUUCGUGCCAGCAGCCGCGGUAAUUC
rnacentral:rRNA from 1 species